rnacentral:lncRNA from 1 species
GUAACCACUUUAAUUGAUUUUCUGUUCCAAAUCCACUAUUUCUUUAGGUUGUAGGGUGAAGAAGUUGUAAACUACAUAAAACCAUCAAGGACUAUCUUUACAGGAUGUCACAUCUUUCAGCAACACCUUAUAGUGAAGAUAAGGGACCUUCAAAUGCCCUCUCCCUUUAUUGGUGGUGGUGGUGGUUGGGGGGGUGGGGGUCUUCCUAUAUUUUGUACCCUAUCUAUGAAAUUACCCUGCAGUUAUAAUUAAGAAAAUAAUUGCAAAUACAAUUUACCAGGUCCAUGCCCAUCAUUUCAUCCUGUAAAUUGAAACAAAGAAAGCUUCUCUACACUUCACCCGACGACCUAGUUUGUGAGCUUUGGGCAAACCUCCCAGGAGGGGUAGAACUGGGUCUUCCAGAGUAAUGAAAUGAUGGUGUGGGACUGGGAAUCAUGAAUUUGAUUCCUCUUUCCCCUGACUCUCCAUGUGGUCAUGGGAAAGUCUACACAUCAUCAGGGUCUUUUAGGUAGGAAAAUGAUUAGGAUAAUUAUUAUGCAGAUUUCUCUAGGGCUUUGAUUUCAAUAAGCCACUCAGCACCCCAUUCUGCCCUCAACCUUUAAAUAAACUUAUUAUUCACACAAACAACAAGUGAUAUUUUGGAUGCUAAGUUUCCACAAAGUUAUUUCAAAAAUAUUUUUAGAAUACUGUUAAUUUUAUAUUACUUAUUUACAGCUAAGUCAAAGUAUAAGAUGUCAGGGCUGGGGAUAUAGCUCAGUAGGUAGAGUGAUAGAAUGCUUGCCUCACAUGCACA